UACGUAGGCAGCAAGCGUUGUUCGGAGUUACUGGGCGUAAAGGGUGUGUAGGCGGUUCUUUAAGUUUGGUGUGAAAUCUCCCGGCUCAACUGGGAGGGUGCGCCGAAUACUGAGGGACUAGAGUACGGGAGAGGAAAGUGGAAUUCCUGGUGUAGCGGUGAAAUGCGUAGAUAUCAGGAGGAACACCGGUGGUGUAGACGGCUUCUGGACCGACACUGACGCUGAAACACGAAAGCGUGGGUAGCAAACAGG
rnacentral:rRNA from 1 species